AUUGAACGCUGGCGGCAGGCCUAACACAUGCCAGUCGAGCGGAUGAAGGGAGCUUGCUCCUGGAUUCAGCGGCGGACGGAUGAGUAAUGCCUAGGAAUCUGCCUGGUAGUGGGGGAUAACGUCCGGAAACGGGCGCUAAUACCGCAUACGUCCUGAGGGAGAAAGUGGGGGAUCUUCGGACCUCACGCUAUCAGAUGAGCCUAGGUCGGAUUAGCUAGUUGGUGGGGUAAAGGCCUACCAAGGCGACGAUCCGGAACUGGUCUGAGAGGAUGAUCAGUCAAACUAGAACUGAAACACGGUCCAGACUCCUACAGGAGGCAGCAGUGGGGAAUAUUGGACCAUGGGCGAAAGCCUGAUCCAGCCAUGCCGCGUGUGUGAAGAAGGUCUUCUGAUUGUAAAGCACUUUAAGUUGGGAGGAAGGGCAGUAGGUUAAUACCUUGCUGUUUUGACGUUACCAACAGAAUAAGCACCGGCUAACUUCGUG
rnacentral:rRNA from 1 species